rnacentral:ncRNA from 1 species
UUUGAUACUUGAGGGGAGUUAUUUCUAGUACGAGAGGACCGAAAUGAGGAAACCCCUAGUGUGCCUGUUGUCACUACAGUGGCAGCGCAGGGUAGCUACGUUUCUAACUGAUAAGUGCUGAAAGCAUCUAAACACGAAGCAGACCCCAAGAUGAGGUAUCUUUUAAGAUCCCUGGAAGACUACCAGGUUGAUAGGUUGGCGGUGUAAGUGCUGUAAGGCAUUUAGCCUACCAAUACUAAUGAUCGU